rnacentral:tRNA from 1 species
GCCGCUGUGGUGGAAUCGGCAGACACAAGGGACUUAAAAUCCCUCGGUAGCAAUACCGUGACAGUUCAAGUCUGUUCAGCGGCACCA